CAGCACACCCGUUCACCAUCACGGUCUCACCAGCUUGCGGUUUACAAAUAUCGAGGAACCCGCAAUAAGCCGUCAUCCUGUUGAAUUUGUGACAAGCCGGACCUAAAUCCCUCCUUUAUACUGGCCCUGGUUAAUCAUUGAUGAAUAGCAUGACUUGCUAAACCUCAGCAGACAACGAGGAAUUUGUUCGUAACUUGAUCCCCAUGAACUAACACAAUGACUUGCAAAACCCAUUGAACCAACGCAUCACUUUUCAACAUUUAUUCCACGACCAAUGAACAUAUAAUAUUAUCAAAGUGCUCUAGGAAAGUUAUUGUUAACUAAUAUUUUAAAAUAAAAUAAAUGAUGAAAA